UGGGUUAAUCAUUAAUAAAAAAGUCCUUGCCAGUAAAAGGCGAGCAGGUUGUGGGAUUCACACUGUUAUCUCAAACAGCACCACCUGAUCCCUGAAGGAGGAGUGACAAACUCAGGGACUGUUGCUGGUCCAGAAUAAGGGCCCCACAAAGCACCCGCAUAAGCUGGGAGCUGGCACCUCUGCCUGAACACAAAACCAGGCCUAACAAUGCACACACCUGAAUCUGACUGAACCUGAGCAACUUCACAGGGGCAAAAAUACAGCCCUAAAGGACAACAAUUUAUUUUUUCCCAGAUGCUGCUCACCCUGCCCAAGGGAUCACGGAUUAGUGCUGCCACGUCCCUUCGUUGAGUUGCUCUUGCUGGGAUAAUGGGUCUGGGAAGCAGUGGGAGGGGCUUCAUGUCAAUCACCAGCAACCCACUUUCUCCAUUCUCCACCCGAAAAGAGAGUUCAAGAUCUAUGGGCCUUGAAUUUAGAACUCCGACUUCCAGAGAAUUAGAGACCUCAAAUAGAAUUUCCAAUGUUAACUAUACCUCAA